rnacentral:rRNA from 1 species
UACAGAGGUUCCAAGCGUUGUUCGGAUUCACUGGGCGUAAAGGGUGCGUAGGUGGUGAGGUAAGUCGGAUGUGAAAUCUCCGGGCUCAACCCGGAAAUGGCAUUGGAAACUACCUUGCUGGAGGGUUUGAGGGGGGAUUGGAAUACUUGGUGUAGCAGUGAAAUGCGUAGAUAUCAAGUGGAACACCAGUGGCGAAGGCGAAUCCCUGGAAAACACCUGACACUGAGGCACGAAAGCUAGGGGAGCAAACAGG